CAGCAGAGUUUAUUCACGAGAGUACUGAAUACGAUACAGUUUACCACAGGUUAUAAAUUGAAACUGACAUCAGCGUUUUCUAAAUGUUCCGUCUCUUCUUGACACUGGUAGAAAGGCUCUAUAGUUCUCAAGCCUUCCCUCCUCACCUAGAGCCAAGGUCAGCCAGUGUAGAUAAGCAUUCUAGUCAGUCUGGAGAUAUAGUUCAUUAAUUUCUACAAAGGAACAGACAGUAAUUGUUCUAAAGUCUUGACCACCUUCACACACAUUAUAUUCAGUACUGGGAUCAAGAAAGAAAACUCAUACACAUACAGAAUAGUAUUCUGAUUAGUACAUAUACAGUAACAUAAUAGUAUUCGGAUUAGUACAUAUACAGUAACAUAAUAGUAUUCUGAUUAGUCAGUCCUGAUUGAAAUGUAUACAUAAUUAGUCAUCAUUGAUAAAAAUUCCCUUAACACCUAUGCACAACAAUACACAGGACGAGAAGCCGUAAUAACAAGUACACAAUACAUCAGCACAAAUCAGAAUGAGCAGCAGUACCAGGGGACUCCGUGACACCAAUGGUGACUUUAAAACAGUUGCAGAAUUUAAAGGCUAUGAUAGGAGAAAACUGAGGAUGAAUCAACAACAUUUUAGUUACUACACAAUACUAACCAAAUUGAAAAGUGGAAACAAGAAAGCCUGUACAGAAUACAAAUAUUCCAAAACGUGUCCUGUUUGCAACAAAACACAAAAAUAAUUCUGCAAAGAAUGUGGCAAAGAAUUAACUUUAUGUCCUCAAUACAAUGCGUUAUGUUUGGGGUAAAGCCAAUACAACACAUCACUGACUACCACAUAUGUUCAAGCAUGGUGGUGGCUGCAUCAUGUUAUGGUUAUGCUUGUCAUCGUCAAGGUCUAAGGAGUGUUUAAGGAUAAAAAUAAACAGAAUAGAGCUAAGCACUGGCAAAAUCCUAAAUAAAACCAGUUUCCCCUUUCAGCAGGACAAUAACCUAAAACACAAGGCCAAAUAUACACAGGAAUUGCUUAUCCAAGAUUACAUUGAAUGUUCCUGCCUUGAAUCAGCUUGAAAAUCUAUGGCAAGACUUGAAAAUAGCUGUCUAGCAAUGAUCAACAACCAACUUGACAGAGCUUGAAUAAUUUUAAAAAAUGAAUGUAAAAAGACAAGGGGUGUGUCACGGCUGUUGAAAGGAUAGGGCCAAGGUGCAGCGUUGUUAGCUUAGCGUACAUUUUCCUUUUAUUAAUUAAAAUGAUGCCGGAAAAGACAAUAAACACUACAAAAACAAACUGUAAAGCUCAAAGGCUAUGUGCCCUAAAUAAAGUCAACCUCCCACAAAGAAAGGAGAGAAAAAGGGCAACCUAAGUAUGGUUCCCAAUCAGAGACAACGAUAGACAGCUGUCCCUGAUUGAGAACCAUACCUGGCCAAAACAUAGAAAUACAAAAUCAUAGAUGACAAAACAUAGAAUGCCCACCCCAAAUCACACCCUGACCAAACCAAAUAGAGACAUUAAAAGGCUCUCUAAUGUCAGGGCGUGAUAGUACACACCCCCAAAGGUGGGGACUCCGGCCGCAAAACCCGAACCUAUAGAGGGGGGUCUGAGUGGGCAUCUAUCCGCGGUGGCGGCUCAGGUGGCUCACCCCUCCACCUCUGGCUCCAGACUGGAGGGCGUCACUGCGGGCCCCCGGACAUCGCUGGAGGCUCCGGACUGGAGGGCGUCGCUGGAGGCUCCAGACUGGAGGACGUCGCUGGAGGCUCCGGACCGGAGGACGUCGCUGGAGGCUCCGGACCGGAGACCAUCGCUGGAGGCUCCGGACUGGAGGACGUCGCUGCGGGCCCCAGACUGGGCACCCUCGUUGCUGCGGGCUCCGGACUGGAGGCCGUCGCUGGAGGCUCCGGACCGGAGACCAUCGCUGGAGGCUCCGGACUGGAGGACGUCGCUGGAGGCUCCGGACUGGAGAGCGUUGCUGGAGGCUCCAGACUGGAGGACGUCGCUGGAGGCCCCCGGACUGGAGGGCGUCGCUGGAGGCUCAGGACUGGAGGACGUCGCUGGAGGCUCCGGACUGGGGGACGUCGCUGGAGGCUCCGGCCUGGGGGACGUCGCUGGAGGCUCCGGACUGGAGAGCGUCGCUGGAGGCUCCAGCCUGGAGGACGUCGCUGGAGGCUCCGGACCGGAGACCAUCGCUGGAGGCUCCGGACUGGAGGACGUCGCUGCGGGCCCCAGACUGGGCACCCUCGUUGCUGCGGGCUCCGGACUGGAGGGCGUCGCUGGAGGCUCAGGACUGGAGGACGUCGCUGGAGGCUCCGGACUGGGGGACGUCGCUGGAGGCUCCGGACUGGGGGACGUCGCUGGAGGCUCCGGACUGGAGAGCGUCGCUGGAGGCUCCAGCCUGGAGGACGUCGCUGGAGGCCCCCGGACUGGAGGGCGUCGCUGGAGCCUCCAGACUGGAGGGCGUCGCUGGAGGCUCAGGACUGGAGGAUGUCGCUGGAGGCUCCGGACUGGAGAGUGUCGCUGGAGGCUCCGGACUGGAGGACGUCGCUGGAGGCUCCGGACUGGAGACCGCCUCUGCAGGCUCCGGACUGGAGACCGUCGCUGGAGGCUCCGGACUGGAGGCCCUCGUUGUUUGGCCAUAAUGACCAUCGUUAUGUUUGGAGGAGAAGGGGGGAAGCUUGCAAGCCAAAGAACACCAUCCCAACCGUGAAGCACGGGGGUGGCAGCAACAUGUUGUGGGAGUGAUUUGCUGCAUGAGGGGCUGGUGCACUUCACAAAAUAGAUGGCACCAUGAGAAAGGAAAAUGGUGGUGAGGGUAGGCAACAACAUCUCCUCCCCACUGAUCCUCAACACUGGGGCCCCACAAGGGUGCGUUCUGAGCCCUCUCCUGUACUCCCUGUUCACCCACGACUGCGUGGCCACGCACGCCUCCAACUCAAUCAUCAAGUUUGCGGACGACACAACAGUGGUAGGCUUGAUUACCAACAACAACGAGACGGCCUACAGGGAGGAGGUGAGGGCCCUCGGAGUGUGGUGUCAGGAAAGUAACCUCAUACUCAACGUCAACAAAACUAAGGAGAUGAUUGUGGACUUCAGGAAACAGCAGAGGGAACACCCCCCCAUCCACAUCGAUGGAACAGUAGUGGAGAGGGUAGCAAGUUUUAAGUUCCUCGGCAUACACAUCACAGACAAACUGAAUUGGUCCACUCACACAGACAGCAUCGUGAAGAAGGCGCAGCAGCGCCUCUUCAACCUCAGGAGGCUGAAGAAAUUCGGCUUGUCACCAAAAGCACUCACAAACUUCUACAGAUGCACAAUCGAGAGCAUCCUGGUGGGCUGUAU
ensembl:lncRNA